rnacentral:rRNA from 1 species
ACUAACUGCCAUACCACCCGAAUGCGCCCGAUCUCGUCUGAUCUCGGAAGCUAAGCAGGUUUAGGCCGGGUUAGUACUUGGAUGGGGAACCGCCUGGAAUACAGGUGCUGUAAGCU